UGAAUUGCGUACGGCUCAUUAGAGCAGAUAUCACCUUAUCCGGGAUCCUCAUAUGGAUAACUGCGGAAAUACUGGAGCUAAUACAUGCAACUAUACCCCAACGCAAGGCGGGGUGCAAUUAUUAGAACAGACCAAACGUUUUCGGACGUUGUUUGUUGACUCUGAAUAAAGCAGUUUACUGUCAGUUUCGACUGACUCUAUCCGGAAAGGGUGUCUGCCCUUUCAACUAGAUGGUAGUUUAUUGGACUACCAUGGUUGUUACGGGUAACGGAGAAUAAGGGUUCGACUCCGGAGAGGGAGCCUUAGAAACGGCUACCACGUCCAAGGAAGGCAGCAGGCGCGAAACUUAUCCACUGUUGAGUAUGAGAUAGUGACUAAAAAUAUAAAGACUCAUCCUUUUGGAUGAGUUAUUUCAAUGAGUUGAAUACAAAUGAUU
rnacentral:rRNA from 1 species